UACGUAGGGCGCAAGCGUUGUCCGGAAUUAUUGGGCGUAAAGAGCUCGUAGGCGGCUUGUCACGUCGAUUGUGAAAGCCCGAGGCUUAACCUCGGGUCUGCAGUCGAUACGGGCUAGCUAGAGUGUGGUAGGGGAGAUCGGAAUUCCUGGUGUAGCGGUGAAAUGCGCAGAUAUCAGGAGGAACACCGGUGGCGAAGGCGGAUCUCUGGGCCAUUACUGACGCUGAGGAGCGAAAGCAUGGGGAGCGAACAGG
rnacentral:rRNA from 1 species